rnacentral:rRNA from 1 species
AACGAACGCUGGCGGCAUGCCUAACACAUGCAAGUCGAACGAGACCUUCGGGUCUAGUGGCGCACGGGUGCGUAACGCGUGGGAACCUGCCCUUAGGUUCGGAAUAACUCCCCGAAAGGGGUGCUAAUACCGGAUAAUGUCUUCGGACCAAAGAUUUAUCGCCUUUGGAUGGGCCCGCGUUGGAUUAGCUAGUUGGUAGGGUAAAAGCCUACCAAGGCGACGAUCCAUAGCUGGUCUGAGAGGAUGAUCAGCCACACUGGGACUGAGACACGGCCCAGACUCCUACGGGAGGCAGCGGAAGGGAAUAUUGGACAAUGGGCGAAAGCCUGAUCGAGCAAUGCCGCGUGAGUGAUGAAGGCCUGAGGGUUGUAAAGCUCGUUUACCCGGGAUGAUAAUGGCAGUACCGGGAGAAUAAGCCCCGGCUAACUCCGUG